rnacentral:rRNA from 1 species
CUCAAAGGAAUUGACGGGGGCCCGCACAAGCGGAGGAGCAUGUGGUUUAAUUCGAUGGUACGCGAGGAACCUUACCUGGGUUAGAACGUAUGAUAGAUGUAGCUGAAAGGUUACAGACCUGCGAGGGAUAUCAUACGAGGUGCUGCAUGGUUGUCGUCAGCUCGUGCCGUGAGGUGUUUGGUUAAGUCCAGCAACGAGCGCAACCCCUACCUUUAGUUGCCAUCAGGUAAAGCUGGGGACACUAGAGGGACUGCCUGCGCAAGCAGAGAGGAAGGUGGGGAUGACGUCAAAUCAGCACGGCCCUUAUGUCCAGGGCUACACACGUGCUACAAUGGUAACUACAGAGGGCAGCGACUAGGCGACUAGGAGCGAAUCUCGAAAAGUUAUCUCAGUUCGGAUUGGAGUCUGCAACUCGACUCCAUGAAGGUGGAUUCGCUAGUAAUCGCGCAUCAGCAAUGGCGCGGUGAAUACGUUCCCGGGCCUUGUACACACCGCCCGUCAAGCCAUGGAAGUUGGGGGUACCUGAAGUUCGUAACCGUAAAAGGAGCGACCUAGGGUAAACUCGAUGACUGGGGCUAAGUCGUAACAAGGUAGCCGUAA